AUACGGAGGAUCCGAGCGUUAUCCGGAUUUAUUGGGUUUAAAGGGUGCGCAGGCGGCCAUUUAAGUCAGCGGUUAAAUCGUGGGGCUCAACCCCAUUCUGCCGUUGAUACUGGGUGGCUUGAUUGCGGUCGAGGUUGGCGGAAUUCGUUGUGUAGCGGUGAAAUGCAUAGAUAUGACGAAGAACACCGAUUGCGUAAGCAGCUGACCAGACCGCAAAUGACGCUCAUGCACGAAAGUGCGGGGAUCGAACAUGAUUAGAUACCCUGGUAGUCCGCACAGUAAACGAUGAAUACUCGCUGUUUGCGAUACACUGUAAGCGGCCAAGCGAAAGCGUUAAGUAUUCCACCUGGGGAGUACGCCGGCAACGGUGAAACUCAAAUGAAUUGACGGGG
rnacentral:rRNA from 1 species